AGCAGCCGCGGUAAUUCCAGCUCCAAUAGCGUAUAUUAAAGUUGCUGCAGUUAAAAAGCUCGUAGUUGAAUUUCGGGAUCAAUUUACUGGUCGUGCCUACGGUACGUACUGGUAUUGUUGAUUCCUCCUUUCUGAGGAGCCGCGAUGUCAUUAACUUGGUGUCGCGGGGAAUCAGGACUGUUACUUUGAAAAAAUUAGAGUGUUUAAAGCAGGCUAACGCUUGAAUACAUUAGCAUGGAAUAAUGAAAUAGGACGUUUGAUCCUAUUUUGUUGGUUUCUAGGGUCGACGUAAUGAUUAAUAGGGAUAGUUGGGGGCAUUAGUAUUCAAUUGUCAGAGGUGAAAUUCUUGGAUUUAUUGAAGACUAACUACUGCGAAAGCAUUUGCCAAGGAUGUUUUCAUUAAUCAAGAACGAAAGUUAGGGGAUUGAAGACGAUCAGAUACCGUCGUAGUCUUAACCAUAAACUAUGCCGACUAGGGAUCGAUGAUGUUAAUUUUUUAAUGACUCAUUCGGCGCCUUAAC
rnacentral:rRNA from 1 species